rnacentral:ncRNA from 2 species
AUUUCAUGCAGAGUGGCUGUGGGACGAGCCCUGAGACGCCACGGCAACCGGACCGGGAUCAUCUAUCGCGGCCGCCAGGUGCCAACUCUCGACCCGGAAACGGGGGACAUGAGAU